AUUGAACGCUGGCGGCAGGCCUAACACAUGCAAGUCGAGCGGAUGACGGGAGCUUGCUCCUUGAUUCAGCGGCGGACGGGUGAGUAAUGCCUAAGAAUCUGCCUGGUAGUGGGGGACAACGUUUCGAAAGGAACGCUAAUACCGCAUACGUCCUACGGGAGAAAGCAGGGGACCUUCGGGCCUUGCGCUAUCAGAUGAGCCUAGGUCGGAUUAGCUAGUAGGUGAGGUAAUGGCUCACCUAGGCGACGAUCCGUAACUGGUCUGAGAGGAUGAUCAGUCACACUGGAACUGAGACACGGUCCAGACUCCUACGGGAGGCAGCAGUGGGGAAUAUUGGACAAUGGGCGAAAGCCUGAUCCAGCCAUGCCGCGUGUGUGAAGAAGGUCUUCGGAUUGUAAAGCACUUUAAGUUGGGAGGAAGGGCAGUAAGCUAAUACCUUGCUGUUCUGACGUUACCGACAGAAUAAGCACCGGCUAACUCUGUGCCAGCCGCCGCGGUAAAAC
rnacentral:rRNA from 1 species